AGGGUUUGAUUAUGGCUCAGGAUGAACGCUGGCGGCGUGCUUAACACAUGCAAGUCGAACGAAGCACCUGGAUUUGAUUCUUCGGAUGAAGAUCCUUGUGACUGAGUGGCGGACGGGUGAGUAACGCGUGGGUAACCUGCCUCAUACAGGGGGAUAACAGUUAGAAAUGACUGCUAAUACCGCAUAAGACCACAGGGUCGCAUGACCUGGUGGGAAAAACUCCGGUGGUAUGAGAUGGACCCGCGUCUGAUUAGGUAGUUGGUGGGGUAACGGCCUACCAAGCCGACGAUCAGUAGCCGACCUGAGAGGGUGACCGGCCACAUUGGGACUGAGACACGGCCCAA
rnacentral:rRNA from 1 species